GUUUAUCAGUUCGAACAGGCUGUGCUGCAUCUGGCUUCGGAAAGAAGAAGAAGAAGAAGAAGAAGUUGAUGGUCGACGAUGGGGUGGGGAUGGACGAUAUACGAGGGAGUCGUGAGCUUAGGUUCGCUAUGGCUACUUGGUUGGGCUGGUCUCUGGUUCUUGAACCAGAGACUCUACAAAGAGUACGAAGAGAAGCGUGUUUUGGUUCAGAUCAUCUUCAGCGUUGUUUUUGCUUUCUCCUGUAAUCUUCUCCAGCUCGUUCUCUUCGAGAUCAUUCCCAUUCUAUCCACGGAGGCUCGAUGGUUGAACUGGAAGCUCGAUCUCUUCUGUUUGAUACUCUUGCUGGUCUUCAUGUUGCCCUAUUACCAUUGUUACUUGAUGCUCUGCAACAGCGGAAUCAGAAAGGAACGGGCUGCUCUUGGAGCUAUCUUGUUUCUGCUCGCCUUUCUUUAUGCCUUUUGGCGCAUGGGCAUUCACUUUCCCAUGCCUUCCCCUGAUAAAGGUUUCUUUACCAUUCCUCAAUUGGUUAGUAGAAUUGGGGUCAUUGGUGUUACUGUCAUGGCUGUCUUGUCUGGUUUUGGAGCUGUUAAUUUACCCUACAGUUAUCUAUCUCUCUUCAUUAGAGAGAUUGAAGAAUCAGAUAUUAAGGCCUUGGAAAGACAACUAAUGCAGUCAAUUGAGACUUGCAUUGCAAAGAAAAAGAAAAUUGUCCUUAGUCAAAUGGAGGUGGAGCGUAUUCAGGGCUCCGAAGAGAAAUUAAAAGCUAGAUCCUUCUUCAAACGAAUUGUUGGUACUGUUGUCCGAUCUGUGCAAGAUGACCAAAAGGAGCAAGAUAUUAAAGGUAUGGAAGCAGAGGUGCAAUCAUUGGAGGAGCUUUCAAAGCAACUCUUUUUGGAAAUCUAUGAGCUUCGCCAAGCAAAGGAGGCUGCUGCUUAUUCUCGAACCUGGAGGGGUCACAUGCAAAAUUUACUUGGCUAUGCAUGUUCAGUGUAUUGUGUAUAUAAGAUGAUAAAGUCUUUGCAAAGUGUUGUUUUUAAGGAGGCUGGUUCAGUUGAUCCUGUGACUAGGACAAUUACCAUAUUCUUGCAGUUUUUUGACAUUGGGAUUGAUGCUGCAUUGUUAUCACAGUACAUUUCUCUUUUAUUCAUCGGAAUGUUGAUCGUUAUCUCAGUACGUGGUUUUUUGACAAAUCUAAUGAAGUUCUUUUUUGCAGUUUCCAGAGUUGGGAGUGGAUCUUCAAGUAAUGUUGUACUAUUUUUAUCUGAAAUUAUGGGGAUGUACUUUGUGUCCUCCAUUCUUUUAAUAAGGAAAAGCUUGGCGACUGAAUAUCGGAUCAUCAUAACGGACGUACUGGGUGGCGAUAUUCAGUUCGACUUCUAUCACCGGUGGUUCGAUGCAAUCUUUGUGGCCAGUGCUUUCCUUUCGCUACUUCUGCUCUCUGCACAUUACACAUCUCGACAAGUUGAUAAACACCCUAUUGAUUAGCUAACAUGAUUCAAUUCAGUGCCAAGUAGGCAUGUGGAAAUUAUGCUUGUACUCGCAUUAUUGUAAUUUCUGUGGCGGCACCGUUAGGCUGGAGGAGGCACCGAGGGAUCCUUUGGGUGCCGGUGUGGGUGCUUUGGGGGUCUGGCUCCUUGAGAGGUCAAGGUGCUUUAUACUAUGAGUAGAGAAAUCUAGCGAGAAAGAGAGAGAUGAGAGAAAUUGAUUGAGGGAGAGAGAAAUGGGAAAAAUUAUGCUAAGGGUGUAUUUGGAAUAAAAAAAAGGGUAUCAUAUUUUAAUGAUGCUAAAGUGUAGGCCUUUUUUUUUUUUUUUUUUUUAUAAUUUAGAUACCCUAUUAAGCAUGGAAACUCAAAUUUCCUUGUAUAAUAAAACAAAACAAAAAAGUUAUUGCCGAGAACCUUAAUUU